rnacentral:rRNA from 1 species
UACAGAGGGUGCAAGCGUUAAUCGGAAUUACUGGGCGUAAAGCGUGCGUAGACGGUUGCGUAAGUCAGAUGUGAAAGCCCCGGGCUCAACCUGGGAACUGCAUUUGUGACUGCAUGGCUAGAGUACGGUAGAGGGGGAUGGAAUUCCGCGUGUAGCAGUGAAAUGCGUAGAUAUGCGGAGGAACACCGAUGGCGAAGGCAAUCCCCUGGACCUGUACUGACGCUCAUGCACGAAAGCGUGGGGAGCAAACAGG